GCGGUAUCCUGACCGUGCUAAGGUAGCAUAAUCAUUUGCCUUUUAAUUGAAGGCUAGUAUGAAUGGAUAAAUGAGGAUUUAGCUGUCUCUUUUAUAAAAAUAUAAAUUAAUCUUCAGGUGAAGAAGCCUGUAUAAUAAUAAAAGACAAGAAGACCCUAUUGAGCUUUACUUUAACUUUAAUUAAUAAAGUAUUGAUACAUAAAAAAUAAAAGCUGUAAGUUUGGUUGGGGCGACAAGGGGAAAUUUAAAACUCCCCAUAACACAUAGAUUUACAAAUCAAUUAAUGAUCCGAUUAGUAUUCGACCAUAGGAAAAAGCUACCAUAGGGAUAACAGGCUAAUUCUUCUAAAGAGCCCACAUUGAUAGAAGAGAUUGGCACCUCG
rnacentral:rRNA from 1 species